rnacentral:rRNA from 1 species
GGAUGAACGCUGGCGGCGUGCCUAAUACAUGCAAGUCGAGCGAACAGACGAGGAGCUUGCUCCUUUGACGUUAGCGGCGGACGGGUGAGUAACACGUGGGUAACCUACCUAUAAGACUGGGAUAACUUCGGGAAACCGGAGCUAAUACCGGAUAAUAUUUCGAACCGCAUGGUUCGAUAGUGAAAGAUGGCUCUGCUAUCACUUAUAGAUGGACCUGCGCCGUAUUAGCUAGUUGGUAAGGUAACGGCUUACCAAGGCAACGAUACGUAGCCGACCUGAGAGGGUGAUCGGCCACACUGGAACUGAGACACGGUCCAGACUCCUACGGGAGGCAGCAGUAGGGAAUCUUCCGCAAUGGGCGAAAGCCUGACGGAGCAACGCCGCGUGAGUGAUGAAGGUCUUCGGAUCGUAAAACUCUGUUAUUAGGGAAGAACAAACGUGUAAGUAACUGUGCACGUCUUGACGGUACCUAAUCAGAAAGCCACGGCUAACUAC